rnacentral:rRNA from 1 species
GAUGAACGCUGGCGGCGUGCCUAAUACAUGCAAGUCGAACGAACGGACGAUAAGCUUGCUUCUCUGAUGUUAGCGGCGGACGGGUGAGUAACACGUGGAUAACCUUCCUAUAAUACUGGGAUAACUUCGGGAAACCGUAGAUAAUACCACAUAAUAUUUUGUACCGCAUGGUUCAAAAGUGAAAGACGGUCUUGCUGUCACUUAUAGAUGGAUCCGCGCUGCAUUAGCUAGUUGGUAAGGUAACGGCUUACCAAGGCAACGAUGCAUAGCCGACCUGAGAGGGUGAUCGGCCACACUGGAACUGAGACACGGUCCAGACUCCUACGGGAGGCAGCAGUAGGGAAUCUUCCACAAUGGGCGAAAGCCUGACGGAGCAACGCCGCGUGAGUGAAGAAGGUCUUCGGAUCGUAAAACUCUGUUAUUAGGGAAGAACAUAUGUGUAAGUAACUGUGCACAUCUUGACGGUACCUAAUCAGAAAGCCACGGCUAACUACGUG